ensembl:snoRNA
UGCCAAGGAUGUAUCCUGAAUUCUGACACCUCAUAUGAAACUGUAACAACAGCUUCUUGAUUCUGUCCUUUGGGCUGAGGCAA